AACUGACCAAAUUCGCAUACUAGUGCAUGUGUGAUUCACGACAGAGCAUGCACGCGAUGCCCUUGGCAGAAUUGUAGAAACGAUUUAAUCAUUGUGAGAAUAGAGGUUAGGAAAAAAUCACUUUGAUACUCGGGGAGGCAUAUGUAUUUACAUGAAGGACUAAUCGGGAGUCGCAUCGCGUGACCGAUGGAAUUUUGUGAUAUAUUUUAUGCAGCGAAUGCGUUCGAUUUUGCAUCUAUUUAAUUUACUAUCGCGGUCUUGGUAAAUGAGGUUUAUCGAUACAAAUACAAGGACUUUUGAUAUCAUCAGGAUACAGGUGUUGAAAUUUUACAGGUGAAGAUACAUCCAGCUUAAGACAUAGCCAAUUCUUACAUGUUCAAAUCGCUGAAGACUUAAUCAUUCUUAGAGCAGGACAUUGACACUGUUAGUCAAGCUAAAAGAGCCUCAGAAAGUCUUAAUUACGCCAACGCCGAUAUGCAAAUCAAAAGUAAAUAACGGAGCACAGACAUGAAAAGGAGAUGUUUCUGGAUGAUCACGUAGGGACAAGUAUUUUAAGCUUAACGCGCGACGUGCAGUCGUUCAGGCAUUGUACAUAUGUAUACAUACAUAUGUACAUGUAUACGCAGAAUGCCUAUUGAUUUGACCCCGCAUGGACACAAACCUAGUCCGUUCAUGACCAGCUUUAACCAUGAGAUGAGACCACUGUCGCCCAGAUUGGACGCUUUUAGCUGAACUUCGAUUGCACAGGAUUGUACCAAUUUUCGCAGAAACUUACCGCUGUCUAUUUAUAUCGAGAAGCUUGGACACUCCACGACAGUUCGAGCCAGUAAAGAUGCUUUGAAAUUUUUCGAUCAAAUGCACCUAGUCAAAAUUCCAUCAAACAUAUUUGCAAGAGUUUAAAAGGACUGCACCCAUUGUUUUAAUGAUUAUUAUUAAACCAACCGAGAGAUGGAUAGGCGAGGCAGUUGCACGACAUUAUAGCUGUUGAACGCUAUAUAAAGCCGUAUUUCAAACAGACACGUCGAUAACCGGUGCUAGGCUAGGUGACAACGACUAUAGGUGUAUGCAGAACAAUCAGUGAGUCACUACGUGAAAGCCAAACCUUCGUCGCUCGAUACAUAGCGCCGCAUUCUUGGAAGAGGUCUGUGAAUGAAUCUGUUCCAACAAUAAGAAUUCGCGUAUCAAUCGGCAUGGCCAAAUCGAUCGAUGAGGACAAAGAUAUAAUAUGAAUCUUUGGCUGACGUACUACCGCGUCAGCAAAAAAAUUUCAGACACCUCAUAAAUUGUGCUGACGUUGGUGUAACUAGUUGAGAUCCUGGCUAGGUCCAGUUGUGCUAUAAGAAUCUAUUGAAAUGAAUGCGGUAUAGAGUAUGCUAGGCUUCCCUAAAGAUAAAGGUGUUAUAGAUGAAAAAGAUACUACCAUUUGAAGGUUUAGAAUAAUUUUGCAAUAAUAAUUUUGUUAGAAGUAGAGUGGCUAUUUAGCCUUGCGUUUUAGAAAGUUUUUAAGAAACUUUUUCCAUCCAUAGGAAAAAUUAAAGUUAAAUGCUUGUUGAAUCGAUAAGCGGCAUGACCGGUAGACGGAUGAUUGCUUAUGUAAUUGUAUGUAUAUUACUAACACCGAUUGCCGCAAGUUUAAUAUAAUUGGACGAUAAGAUUGAAGUGUUAUUAUCAUAAUAGUCACAAUUAAGUAUGCAAUUUUAUCUAUGGUGUACACACUCGUUUACUCUCAGUAGUAACAAUGAUGAAUGUCAAAAGUUUCUCAAUUGUUUGUUUAAUUAUAUCUUGUCAUAUGACUUUUCACUGUGACACUCGACACGUUAAUAAUAGUUAUAUAUCGUUGCACUAUGCUUGACUGUCAGUCAACGUGUUAACACAUUUAGUUAAUAUUGUUUUUAAGGAUAACAUACAUGCAGGGUGUCCGCAAAAAAUUUGUUAAUCUAGACCUAUUACUACCAAUAGUAAUUUUCGGAUUAUUGCUUGCAAUGUCAAUAUUGAAUGCGAAUCUUUGUUGUCCGUAGUCAUCGUUCCACAGUAAUUGUCAACUUCGUGUACAAGGUCUUAUUGAUUCCUGACACUUUACGAUUACGUGGUACCACGAGAUGGUCACUAUUUACUUUAAAUUAUCCAUCGAUUGGAAAUAAUCAACGAUUCAGAAAAAAAGGACCAUGUUCUAUGACGCUGCACUUGAACUUAUCGUAUGAUCGUUAAACGUGCAGCAUCGAUGUCAAACCUGACCUAGAAUUGGUUAUUUGAUCCGAUAUAUUCUUGCAAUCAAUGUGGAUUGAAAUCUACGGCCAUCUUGGUAUCUUACGAACAAGUGGUUUCGCUGUUCUCUGUAUUGAAAAAAACCGCUAUUCGAGCAACCGAUCCUUCAAUUAUCUUUAACCACGUAAUCGAAUAUUCAUUCCAAUUUUAUUUCUUGCACAAAUACCUGGAAUCUUGAGAGGGCCGACGGGCAACGCCAGUUAACUGUGAUCCCAAUGCAUUCACGAGGAGAAACACUUGGAAUAUUAUACAUCAGCUUUGAAUGAAACUCAACAAUCGGAUUAAGCUUGAGGAGGAAAAUGAUCAUACAGAGAGGUGAUUAAAGUCAACAGUUUGAGAAGCAUUCGACAGUCGAGGAUGCUGCUUCGUUUAUCUCAUAGAUGCCAGAUAAUGUUAGUGGCUCAUCAUUUAUGGCAAAGAAAAAUUACAGAACGACCUGGUGACGAGCUCUUGAAUUAAUGACUUAAAGAGGCGCGAACGAUGCGACGACUAUUACUCACUGUGACAUCCAAUAUUUGGACCUCUAGGGUCAAAUAUAUUGUUUAAAGAUGGAAUACGAUUAACUUCCUUCGCAAGAAUAAUUAAUCUUUAAAAUUGUAAAGCAUGGAAACAGGAAGAAAAUUGUACAUCAGAGUACAAAGUGUUCAGACUAAAAAUAGCUGAACAUUAUUUUCUGUCUAUUCGGUUGAGUUUCAUUGUAAAAUACUGAUGUAACCUUGUUUUGGCAUCAAAAGGCUUCUUUGAAUACAUACGUGCAUCAUUCUCAUGCCUUUUACUACAUCAGCAACAUAAAUCGGUGUUUAGGUAUACUCAAAAUACUCUUUUUUUAUAGGUUUACAUACAUUACGAACAUUGGCUACAUGAGUGGAGAUCAGAUAUGCCUUGACCCCUUUUCAAAAUGUGAAUUGGUUCUUCUUACGUUGUGGAGGAUAAAGUAAUCUGAAGAUCUAAAUCCGACGCGUAUUGCGUGCGGCGGGUCCGUUGACGCAUUGCAGAAGAAGAACGGUCGGCAGGCGAGCGAAUCGGAUAAAAACGACAGAAAAGCGACAAGCAGAAGGAAGAAAAAAGGAGUUCCUAUCGUCUUUCGGAUCGUGACAAUGGACUAGAAGCUGCAGCAGCACGCUGCACACCCAGAACGCACCACGCAAGUUCCAGCUGACGUCCUGGCGAAUCGAAGAAGUGGGGAGGGGCAUACCAGCGCGGGGAACAGAGCAGCCGACCGUGGUCAGUCGCCUCUUCAUCGUCUGAAACCUACCCGGAUGUGUUCACCAAGAGAACAAUUCACGAGUAUGAGCAGUCUUCAGGAUUUCUGUGAGCGACGAAGAACGAAGAAUCGCGCACCGCUCGUCAAUGGUAGUUUGCUGAGCGUCGACCCAGCUCUGGUCCGUCGAUCGAAAGCGUCGCGGCGUAACCAGACCAUGUUAAGCCGCCUAGAAACGCGUCCCGUCGCCGUGACGGCGCACGUGUGCUGCUCGUUCAGCGCGGACAGAAACGGGUUCGCGAAGCUAUUUGAUCAUCAUCGACCACUCCGUCCCUCCUGAUGCUUGCUGAUCACUCGAUGAAGAAGGAGAGCGCGGUGAAAGAUAGGAAGAUUUGAGAUACCAUUGAGCUCAUCGAAGGUGCCUGCUUGACCACCCCAUUCGUUUGGCAGCAUUACUUUAUCCAUGUACGGAUACAAUUCCUCUCCGCCACCGGUAUGGAUACGAAACUUCAAAAUAAUGACACUUAGAAAAGGAAUUCCAGUUCGACAAAUAAGUGCAUGGAGGAAGUGAACUCUAUGAAGACGUAGCGGCAUGCUAUCUUGAACCGCCAACAUCGAUUUCCUCACGAUACUCUGCGUUGGACUACAUUUCGUGAAGUGGACCACGCUAAAUCCCUGAUGAGAUCAUUUGCAGAUAAAGCAAUUGUACGUUGAUACCUGAAGAUCGAUGACCAUAAUAUUGGAUAGACAACGUUCUUCCAUCAAACGCGUAUCCAAUACCAUAAGAAUUCUUCUGGAU